AGCAGUGGAAAUAACCUGAUUGGUGCAGGGUUUGAUGUCUGCGUAUAGGAGCUUCUCUUUGAUUAGUUGCUGUGCUAACCUUUUUUUAUUUUUAUUUUUCUGAGACAGCCCUGGAACUCAAUAUGCAGACCAAGCAGGCCUCAAACUCAUGGAGUUCUUUCUGUAUGCCUCUGCCUCCUGAGUGCUGGGAUUAAAGGCAUGUGCCACCACUACCAGGCUGUGAUAACUAUCAAUUAUUUUAAAUUCUGUUUAUAAGUAUAUUUAGAAUGAUAUGUAAUAACUUACAAAUUAUCAGUUGCCAAAGUCCAGCAUACUAACCUACACACUAUUGUUUUUAUUUGAAUUCUUUGCUCAUGAGAAUUUACUCAAGAUAGCAACUGAAAAUGUAUUUCUUGACUUUGGAAAAAAAAAAUGAGUCCUUGACUUGAAUUUGACAAUUUCUAAAAUUCAGUGUUAAAAGCUUGGUAGUAUUUGCUUAUGUAAUUCAGCCACCAAGUUAAGAUCACACAAAGUUUAUAUGAAUAUUGGUAGCUGCAUGAUUUAGCAAGUGCUCUCAACCUUCCUUACCUUUUCCCCCAUUUAAUUUUUUUUUAUUUUGAAAAAUUUAUACAUAGAACCUUGGAAUAAAUAUUGUAGGGAUCACCUGCAUAUUCACUUCAUAGGUCUAAUGUUUUCUGUUUGUUCCUUAUGUACAUGAUUGUGGACUGUUGGUAAUUAAGUUGCAGACACCAUAGCACUUGACUCCUAAGUAUUUCAGCAGUCAUCUCCG
rnacentral:lncRNA from 1 species